rnacentral:rRNA from 1 species
GACAGAGGGUGCAAACGUUGUCCGGAUUUACUGGGCGUAAAGCGCGUGUAGGCGGCUUUGCAAGUCGGAUGUGAAAGCCCACGGCUCAACCGUGGAAGUGCAUCCGAAACUGCAUGGCUUGAGUCUCGGAGAGGAAGGUGGAAUGCUUGGUGUAGAGGUGAAAUUCGUAGAUAUCAAGCAGAACACCUGCGGCGAAGGCGGCCUUCUGGACGAUGACUGACGCUGAGACGCGAAAGCGUGGGGAGCAAACAGG